UACGGGGGGGGGCAAGCGUUGUUCGGAAUUACUGGGCGUAAAGGGCUCGUAGGCGGCCAACUAAGUCGGACGUGAAAUCCCCAGGCUCAACCUGGGAACUGCGUCCGAUACUGGAUGGCUUGAAUCCGGGAGAGGGAUGCAGAAUUCCAGGUGUAGCGGUGAAAUGCGUAGAUAUCUGGAGGAAUACCGGUGGCGAAGGCGGCCAUCUGGACGGAUACUACGCUG
rnacentral:rRNA from 1 species